UGGGGAAUUUUGGACAAUGGGGGCAACCCUGAUCCAGCAAUGCCGCGUGUGUGAAGAAGGCCUUCGGGUUGUAAAGCACUUUUGUCCGGGAAGAAAUCGCACCUGAUAAUACCGGGUGUGGAUGACGGUACCGGAAGAAUAAGGACCGGCUAACUACGUGCCAGCAGCCGCGGUAAUACGUAGGUUCCAAGCGUUAAUCGGAAUUACUGGGCGUAAAGCGUGCGCAGGCGGUUGUGCAAGACCGAUGUGAAAUCCCCGGGCUUAACCUGGGAAUUGCAUUGGUGACUGCACGGCUAGAGUGUGUCAGAGGGGGGUAGAAUUCCACGUGUAGCAGUGAAAUGCGUAGAGAUGUGGAGGAAUACCGAUGGCGAAGGCAGCCCCCUGGGAUAACACUGACGCUCAUGCACGAAAGCGUGGGGAGCAAACAGG
rnacentral:rRNA from 1 species